rnacentral:tRNA from 1 species
AGUCUCGUGGCCGAGAGGCGAGGCAGGGCCCUGCAAAAGCCCACACAGCGGUUCAAAUCCGCUCGAGACGU